UAUGCCCCUGGGUGCAAAGAACCUCAUGA
rnacentral:piRNA from 1 species